rnacentral:rRNA from 1 species
UGACCAGCGGAGGGAUCAUUACCGAGUCUAAACAACUCAUCAACCCUGUGAACAUACCUAAAACGUUGCUUCGGCGGGAACAGACGGCCCCGUAAAACGGGCCGCCCCCGCCAGAGGACCCCUAACUCUGUUGCUAUAUGUAUCUUCUGAGUAAACAAGCAAAUAAAUUAAAACUUUCAACAACGGAUCUCUUGGCUCUGGCAUCGAUGAAGAACGCAGCGAAAUGCGAUAAGUAAUGUGAAUUGCAGAAUUCAGUGAAUCAUCGAAUCUUUGAACGCACAUUGCGCCCGCCAGUAUUCUGGCGGGCAUGCCUGUUCGAGCGUCAUUACAACCCUCAGGCCCCCGGGCCUGGGGUUGGGGAUCGGCGAGGCGCCCCCUGUGGGCACGCGCCGUCCCCCAAAUACAGUGGCGGUCCCGCCGCAGCUUCCAUUGCGUAGUAGCUAACACCUCGCAACUGGAGAGCGGCGCGGCCAUGCCGUAAAACACCCAACUUCUGAAUGUUGACCUCGAAUCAGGUAGGAAUACCCGCUGAACUUAAGCAUAUCAAUAAGGCGGAGGA